GAUGAACGCUGGCGGCGUGCUUAACACAUGCAAGUCGAACGAGAAUCUCUGGAUAGAGGCUUCGGCCAAUUGAAGGAGAGGAAAGUGGCGGACGGGUGAGUAACGCGUGAGUAAUCUGCCUCAGAGUGGGGAAUAACACAGAGAAAUCUGUGCUAAUACCGCAUGACGCAUAGAGAUCGCAUGGUUUUUAUGCCAAAGAUUUAUCGCUCUGAGAUGAGCUCGCGUCUGAUUAGCUAGUUGGCGGGGUAACGGCCCACCAAGGCGACGAUCAGUAGCCGGACUGAGAGGUUGGCCGGCCACAUUGGGACUGAGACACGGCCCAGACUCCUACGGGAGGCAGCAGUGGGGGAUAUUGCGCAAUGGGGGAAACCCUGACGCAGCAACGCCGCGUGAAGGAAGACGGUUUUCGGAUUGUAAACUUCUUUUAUAAGGGACGAAUUUUGACGGUACCUUAUGAAUAAGCUCCGGCUAACUACGUGCCAGCAGCCG
rnacentral:rRNA from 1 species